rnacentral:tRNA from 1 species
GGUCGCUUAGAUCAGUUGGUUAGAUCGUGGUGCUAAUAUCACGCCAAGGUCAAGGGUUCGACCCCCUUAGUGACCA